GGAACCUCUUGAGUGGUUUGAGUGAAAGCUCCUCUUUGACAGCACGUUUUCUUCCAUUAUUUUAUUCCUUUUUUUUUUCCCGGAGCAAAACUCUCCUUUUUCGCCGAAAGUCUGCUCAAAGGUGCCGGAACCAGCCUGACAUGAAGAAGAGAGACGCCAGAAGCCCGCUGAAGUCAGACGCUGAGACGCAGAGAAGACUGACCGGCUGUGCCUGCAAAGACCAAUGUCCUGGCUUCACGGCGCACAAAUGGAGAACAUGUCGUGGGGCCUAUAAACAAAGCAGCUGAAGGUUGAAAAUGGCUCCCAGCUCUACACUUUGGACUAUGGCUACAACUAUUUCAAUUGUCAACGAUUCGAUUUUAACUCGUUUUUAGAACCCAUUAUAAAGA